CCUAACACAUGCAAGUCGAACGAAGUAGCAAUACUUAGUGGCAGACGGGUGAGUAACAUGUAGGUAUCUGCCCUUUGGCCUGGAAUAACACGAGGAAACUUGUGCUAAUACCGGAUAAGUCUUUACGGAGAAAGCUUUAUGCACCAUUGGAUGAGCCUGCACUUGAUUAGUUUGUUGGUGGGGUAAUGGCCUACCAAGACUGUGAUCAAUAGCUGAUUUGAGAGGAUGAUCAGCCACAUUGGGACUGAGACACGGCCCAAACUCCUACGGGAGGCAGCAGUGGGGAAUCUUGCACAAUGGAGGAAACUCUGAUGCAGCGAUGCCGCGUGAGUGAAGAAGGCCCUUGGGUUGUAAAGCUCUUUCGUCGGGGAAGAAAAUGACUGUACCCGAAUAAGAAGGUCCGGCUAACUUCGUGCCAGCAGCCGCGGUAAUACGAAGGGACCUAGCGUAGUUCGGAAUUACUGGGCUUAAAGAGUUCGUAGGUGGUUGAAAAAGUUAGUGGUGAAAUCCCAGAGCUUAACUCUGGAACUGCCAUUAAAACUUUUCAGCUAGAGUAUGAUAGAGGAAAGCAGAAUUUCUAGUGUAGAGGUGAAAUUCGUAGAUAUUAGAAAGAAUACCAAUUGCGAAGGCAGCUUUCUGGAUCAUUACUGACACUGAGGAACGAAAGCAUGGGUAGCGAAGAGGAUUAGAUACCCUCGUAGUCCAUGCCGUAAACGAUGUGUGUUAGACGUUGGAAAUUCAUUUUUCAGUGUCGCAGGGAAACCGAUAAACACACCGCCUGGGGAGUACGACCGCAAGGUUAAAACUCAAAUGAAUUGACGGGGACCCGCACAAGUAGUGGAGCAUGUGGUUUAAUUCGAAGAUACGCGCAGAACCUUACCAACACUUGACAUGUUCGUCGCGACUUUAAGAGAUUAAAGUUUUCGGUUCGGCCGGACGAAACACAGGUGCUGCAUGGCUGUCGUCAGCUCGUGUCGUGAGAUGUUGGGUUAAGUCCCGCAACGAGCGCAACCCUCACUUUUAGUUGCCAUCAUUAAGUUGGGCACUCUGAAAGAACUGCCAGUGAUAAGCUGGAGGAAGGUGGGGAUGACGUCAAGUCCUCAUGGCCCUUACGUGUUGGGCUACACACGUGCUACAAUGGUAUCUACAACAGGAAGCAAGACUGCGAAGUUAAGCAAAUCCCUAAAAGAUACCUCAGUUCGGAUUGCACUCUGCAACUCGAGUGCAUGAAGCUGGAAUUACUAGUAAUCGUGGAUCAGCGUGCCACGGUGAAUGCGUUCCCGGGUCUUGUACACACCGCCCGUCACACCAUGGGAGUUGGUUCUACCUUAAG
rnacentral:rRNA from 1 species